GACUUUACAAAAUCCUGGCAGUCCAUUGUGGACGACCAGGUUCAUGAAAGCUAAACUACCCAUUCUCUAAGGCCUCUUCUGCCUUAAUAGGCUUCAGAGACUUCAAUUCCUUCACCAUUUUGCAGAGCCUCUGCAAGGAGAGGAAGGAGCAAAGUGCUCUUCCUACAGCUGCUGUGAAAAUAACCAUGCUUUAAACACUCAAUUUAGGUUAUGUUUAGAAAGCAUAGUCCAAAUAAGCAGCUCUUCAGGACAAUGGCAUAAAACUACAACUUGACGUUUUUUUUUUCCUAGAAGACAGGGAAUGAGAAGGAUGGAAGGCCUGGAUAGCGUAAGAUAAAGAAUGGGGUAUGGUUGGAACACACAGAUGGCACAGUCCUUGAAGAAGCAGAAGAUCUAAGAGCCAGCUCAAGUUUUACCAUGUGCUCUUCUCCCCAUCCACGAGGCUGGCAGGAUUCUAGGCCUACUGCACCCUCAGUGAAGGGAACGUGGGGCAGCGCUGCAGUCAGCCUCUCAGGCAUCAGGUGAGUGCAAGAAAAUAUUUUUGAUAUUGUAAGCCUGUGAGAUUUUGGAGUUGCUUGUCACUGCCGCAGAGCCAAGCCUAACUUCCUGAUAUACUACCAUCCUCCUUUGGGAAGGAAGAGAGACGGAUUGCAGCACCAGCCAGCGUCUGAAGGAACUACGUGCACCCUCCUCUUUCCAUCCUCCCCACUCCUGACGCUGUUAACAGCACUCUCCUGUCAUGGUUAGUGCUAAGUGUCAAUUUGAUUGGGUUGAAGGAUGCAAAGUAUUGUUCCUGGAUGUGUCUGUGAGGGCGUUGCCAAAAGAGAUUAACAUUUGAGUCAGUGAACUGGGGGAGGCAGACCAACCCUCAAAGUGGCUGGGCACCAUCUCAUCAGCUGCCAGCACGGCUAGAAUAAAGCAGGCAGAAGAAGGUAGGAGAAGCUGACUUGCUGAGUCUUCUGGCCUUCAUCUUUCUCUUGUGCUGGGUGCUCCCUGCCCUUGAACAUCAGACUCCAAGUUCUUCGGCUUUUGGACACUUGAACUUACACCAGUGGCUCUCUCUCUCUCUGGCCUUCAGCCACAGACUGAAGACUACACUGUCGGCUUCCCGACUUCUGAGGUUUUGGGAUUCAGACUGGCUUUCUUGCUCCUCAGCUGGCAGAGGGCCUAUCAUGGGACUUCAUCUUGUGACUAUGUGAGUCAAUUCGCCUUCAUCUAUACAUCCAUCCUACUAGUCCUGUCCCUUUAGAGAACCCUGACUAAUACACCUCCUCGUCCACUACGACCCAAGGAACUGUAGAGCUCCGCUAAGAGCCAGUAGCCCAUCAGUCAUGCCCUCUGUAGCAGGUUGAAUGAUGCCCCCGAAAAGAGAUGUCCACAUCUUAACCCCCCAAAUCACGAAUGUGACUUAAUUUGGAAAAAGAACCUUGCAGGUAUCAUUAAGAUUCUCCAUAUGAAAUCAUCUUGUAUUACCAGGAUGUGCCCUAGAUCCAAGGACAGGUGUCCUUCUAGAGAUGAAGAGAAGACAGAGGAGAUGGAAGUGAUGCAGCUACAAACCGAAGAACCCCUAGGACCACCAGGAGCUUACAGACUCAAGGAGGCUUCUUCCCUAGAGCCUUUGAAGACAGCCUGCAGGCCGGGCGCCGUGGCUCACGCCUGUAAUCCCAACACUGUGGGAGGCACAGGCAGGCGGAUCACCUGAGGUUGGGAGUUUGAGACCAGCCUAACCAACAUGGAGAAACCCCGUCUCUACUAAAAAUACAAAAAUUAGCCAGGCGUGGUGGUGGAAGCCUGUAAUCCCAGCUGCUUGGGAGGCUGAGGCAGGAGAAUCACUUGAACCCGGGAGGCUGAGGUUGCAGUGAGCCGAGAUCGUGCCAUUGCACUGCAGCCUGGGCAACAAGAGUGAAACUCUGUCUCAAAAAAAAAAAAAAAGAGAGAGAGAGAGAGCCUGCAGCCUUGCUAACACCUUGAUUUUAGACUUCUGGUCUCCAGACCUGUGAGAGAAUAAAUUCUGCUGUUUUAAGCCACUCA
rnacentral:lncRNA from 1 species